UUACGGUCAAAUCACGCUGAAACACCGGUUCUCGUACGAUCACCGAAGUUAAGCAGCGUAGAGCCAGGUCAGUACUUAGAUGGGAGACCGCUUGGGAACACCUGGUACUGUAAG
rnacentral:rRNA from 1 species